rnacentral:rRNA from 1 species
AAAGGAAUAGACGGGGACCCGCACAAGCGGUGGAGCAUGUGGUUUAAUUCGAAGCAACGCGAAGAACCUUACCAAGGUUUGACAUCCCUCUGAAUAUAUUAGAAAUAGUAUAGGCCUUCGGGACAGAGGAGACAGGUGGUGCAUGGUUGUCGUCAGCUCGUGUCGUGAGAUGUUGGGUUAAGUCCCGCAACGAGCGCAACCCUUAUAAUUAGUAGCCAGCGGGUAAGCCGGGGACUCUAGUUAGACUGCCGUGGAUGACACGGAGGAAGGCGGGGACGACGUCAAAUCAUCAUGCCCCUUAUAUCUUGGGCUACACACGUGCUACAAUGGGCGAAACAAAGUGAAGCAAAUCGGUGACGAUAAGCCAAACACAAAAAAGCGCCCUCAGUUCGGAUUGCAGCCUGCAACUCGGCUGCAUGAAGCUGGAAUCGCUAGUAAUCGCGGAUCAGAAUGCCGCGGUGAAUACGUUCCCGGGUCUUGUACACACCGCCCGU